rnacentral:rRNA from 1 species
UACGAAGGGGGCUAGCGUUGCUCGGAAUCACUGGGCGUAAAGCGCACGUAGGCGGAUUGUUAAGUCAGGGGUGAAAUCCUGGAGCUCAACUCCAGAACUGCCUUUGAUACUGGCGAUCUCGAGUCCGGGAGAGGUGAGUGGAACUGCGAGUGUAGAGGUGAAAUGCGUAGAUAUCAUUAGGAACGCCGGUGGCGAAAGCGAUCGACUGGACCUCUUCUGACGCUGAGGCGCGAAAGCCAGGGGAGCAAACGGG